AUCAAGUCCCUCCGAGUCCUCCGGGUGCUACGACCUCUAAAGACCAUCAAGCGGCUGCCUAAGUUGAAGGCCGUAUUUGACUGCGUGGUGAACUCGCUCAAGAACGUCUUCAACAUCCUCAUUGUCUACAUGCUCUUCAUGUUCAUCUUCGCCGUGGUGGCCGUGCAGCUCUUCAAGGGCAAAUUCUUCCACUGCACGGACGAGUCCAAGGAGUUUGAGAGAGACUGUCGGUGGGUGGGGCCACCAUCUCGGGGACACCGAGGCAGGGGAGGGUGAGGUGCAGGGCCCACAAUCCAGACGCUGAGGCAGAAGGGUAACUCUGGGUCAGCUUGGGUCUGGAGUAGAGUUUUAAAAGUCAGGUGUGGUAUACCUAGGACGUCAGCACUCAGGCUAAGGCAGGAGGAUCACCCUGAGUCUUGAGACAAAGCUGGGUUACAGAAUGAGCACUUGUCUCAAAAGAAAAAAAAAAGCUGUUAUAGAGGACGUGCUCAGUGUGUACUCAGUGUGUACACAGCAAGGCCCAGGACCACCCCCGUCUCUGGCACGAAAAAAUAGUAGUGAGGAAAAAGUCAAAGCCUGGGUGAUGUGAGACAGAGAGCUCCAGCCCAGCCUGCCUCACAGAGAAACUUUGACUCAUAAAAGAAGAGCGAAUGAGAAACUUUGAGAAUCUAGGUCCACCCCCACCCCAUCUCUUCAGACUGGGUUAAGGUGUUCUAAUCUCCCAGCGACUUUGUCAAGGGGGUUCU
rnacentral:lncRNA from 1 species